UACGGAGGGUGCGAGCGUUGUCCGGAAUCACUGGGCGUAAAGGGCGCGUAGGCGGCUUGUCACGUCGAUUGUGAAAGCCCGAGGCUUAACCUCGGGUCUGCAGUCGAUACGGGCUAGCUAGAGUGUGGUAGGGGAGAUCGGAAUUCCUGGUGUAGCGGUGAAAUGCGCAGAUAUCAGGAGGAACACCGGUGGCGAAGGCGGAUCUCUGGGCCAUUACUGACGCUGAGGAGCGAAAGCGUGGGGAGCGAACAGG
rnacentral:rRNA from 1 species